rnacentral:lncRNA from 1 species
AAAGGAAAAGAAAAAAGAGCACAAAAACGCGAUUCAUCUUCUUUCCAGAAUUCUUUCUCCAUGAUUCUUUAUGCAUGAUCCAACCCGAUUGCAGCACAACAACAAAAACAUCACCUCAUUUUCUUCUUCUUCUCUUCGAAAUAAAAAGCAUCUCGUAAUUGAAAGGGGUGUGGAAAAGCAUAUCCAAAUAAAAGGGGUUUAAAUCAGAUGACAAUGAGCCAAAAGCAUGUGAAUUGGAAGAUGAAGAAUCGAAUCUAGGAGCGAGAAGCCUGUUUUCUCGACCACCACCAGCAGCGGCGCCUAAUCGAUUCAAAGAGAAGAAGAAAAAGGUAGAAAAUUGAAGAAGGAUUGGAUUGAAUUUUGAGGCUAGGUUAUGGUAUCAGAUAUUUCUCUCAUCUUCAUUCCAUGAAUCACUUUUUUUUUUCCUUCUUUUUUCUCUUCCUUUUCUAUUUCUUUCGUUUUCUUUCUCCAUGAUUCUUUCUUCUUUCCAUGAAUCACAUUUUUCUUCACAUUCAACUAUUUGAUGAUGGUGGAAUGAUUGAAUUCCUUGGAGCAAUUUUUGGAUGCACUGGUGCUUGUGUUAUCUUAUACUUCCUUGCCAUACUUUGGUACAAGAAAAUGUGCAGUUUGGAAUAGUUAGUCGGGCACCCUAAUUAUGUUUCAAAUAAAUUUGUACAAGUUUCAUAUUACUAUAGAGUAUAGGCUUUGAUUGUUUGGGGUUCUGGAUAAAUAAAAGGAGGAUUUACCUUUUGAGAUUUAAGUUUGUUGUUGUUGCUAUGUUCAAGAUUUGUUGUUGGGUGGCAUUUAGGGUGGGUGAGGGAAAGAAUUCCCCAUCAUAGGAAAGUAUUUUUUUGACCAUUGGAUCAAAAUAAGAGCACCCUAUUGUCAUAUACUCUCAACACUAAAUUACACUUCCACCUCCCUUUCUCUCUCCUCCAUCAUCCUCCCACACUCACCCACCACCACUAGCAACAACAACUUAGGUUUCUCAUUUUUCUGUGUAUGCUUUGGUGACUUCUUUCUCCCUUCCAAUAGUUCGUUUCCUUACUGUUACAAUAAAAUCACCAUUGAAUUUGAAGAAAAGAAAAUGAAGAAAAAAAAACCGAAAACUGUCCAUUGAUUUGUUCGAUUCAAUGGUUUCAUUUUGUGAAUUUCUUGAUCACUGCAAAAUUUAUUUUUGUAAAUAUGUUUGAAGUUUUGAUUUUGUUUAUCUUGAUCUUCGAAAUUAUCUAAAUCUAAAAAGUAUUAGAAAAAAAAAAUCAGAUAUUUUCAUGUUUUUGUUUGGUUGUGAUUUUUUAUCUUGGACAUGAGAACAAAUUUUUCUUAUGAUUUCAUACCCAAAGUUAAAAUAUUUGUAAAAGGGUUGCAAGAAUAUGUAACGAAGGUUUUACAGAUUGGUGGUGGUGGGUCUCAUGGAUUGAUAUGAUAAUCCUAAGGUUGAAGAUAAAGUGACAAAAAGAUAUAGUGUGGAUGGACCAUAAUAAAAUAUAUGUUACUCUUUAAUCUAAUGGCCAUAAUAUACUUUCCUAUGGUGGGAAAUUCUUUCCCUCACCCAUCCUAAAUGCCACCUUGUUGUUGAUAUGAAUUUUGUUUGGGUUUUUGUUAAAGAAAAUUUUUUGAGUUUUUUUUUUUUUUUUUUUUAAGAUUGUUGUUGUUGUAGAAGAUGAAGAUUGUUGUUCUUCACGUGCCAAGCCUUUUUAUUUGUCUUUUUUUUUUAUUCAACUAAUUACACACAUGGCUUUUAGUUUUUUUUAAAUAUCAAUAUACAUAUGUGGCGUGCCACCUCCUUUAAUGAACUGGCAAAUCAGCUUUGACUUGGUCAAAAUUGGCCAAAAGGAUCAAAGAUGCAAACAGACUAAAUUUUAAGGAACUAAAAUUGUAGUUUUUGCACAUAGGGGGCCAAAAUUGCAACUUUUUGAAACUUAGAGGGGGAAAAGUGCACUUUAGCCUAAAAAUUAUGGUUGAUUACUCUAAGUGAUAAAAAAGAGAUAAAAAAACUAUGGUUGAUUAAUCAAUUUUAUCCUAUAAGAGAGUGUUAAUGUAUGUUUCUUUUAACAAAACUCUUUAAGAGAGUGUUAAUGUAUGUUUUCAGUUUGUCCACCAUUGUAAAAGCUUUAAGCUCAAUCAUCUGCGGUCAAUAAUACAUUGUUUUACCUGUGAAAAUUAUGGUUUCUAACAUCUUGUGUCUUACAACAAUGUCAUUAAUAAGUUUCAAGUCACACGGAUCGUAUUGGACACAAAAUUUGCCAUCGAAAAUAAUUUUAAAAUUUGAAAUAAUUGAAUGUAACAUGUGUAAGUAUUGUGUCGGUACUGGAUAAUGGACACAACUUCAAUUUGGAGUGUUGAUGUUGUGAAGGGUUAUUAGAUUUCUGUUGGUGUGGUAGUUAAUACUUGUAUGCAAGUGUGCAUUAUAAAGUUUGUUCCCUACAGAUGCUGCAUACAUUUUGAAGUGUUAGAGUUAGCAUUCAUGUGGGCUGUUGUUUGUGACUCGAAAUUGAUGCUUGGAGUUCUGCAAAAAUCGGGCCACUAUCCGAAGAAAUCAGGCCACAAUUUUGGGUGCAGCUUUGGGAGUUUUGCCUCAUAAAAAAAUCGGGGCACGAUGGUCAAAAAUGAGCACGAUUUUGCGCUCAAGGAGAAAAAUAGAAACAUAUUUUCAGCGUAUUUUCUGUACCUAAUUCUGAGGGUUAUAUUUCUCUAUAAAUUCAGAUCCUGUAUAAGAUGAAAGAAAGAGUAGAAAAAGGAUU